GAGAUAACUCCUACGGGAGGCAGCAGUGAGGAAUAUUGGUCAAUGGACGCAAGUCUGAACCAGCCAAGUAGCGUGCAGGAUGACGGCCCUCUGGGUUGUAAACUGCUUUUAGUUGGGAAUAAAAAAGAGGACGUGUCCUCUAUUGUAUGUACCUUCAGAAAAAGGACCGGCUAAUUCCGUGCCAGCAGCCGCGGUAAUACGGAAGGUCCAGGCGUUAUCCGGAUUUAUUGGGUUUAAAGGGAGCGCAGGCGGAUUAUUAAGUCAGUGGUGAAAGACGGUGGCUCAACCAUCGUUAGCCAUUGAAACUGGUAGUCUUGAGUGCAGACAGGGAUGCUGGAACUCGUGGUGUAGCGGUGAAAUGCUUAGAUAUCACGAUGAACUCCGAUCGCGAAGGCAGGUGUCCGGGCUGUAACUGACGCUGAGGCUCGAAAGUGUGGGUAUCAAACAGGAUUAGAUACCCUUGUAGUCCUCCACU
rnacentral:rRNA from 1 species